ACUUGCUCAGCUUCAGCAAGGUCCGAGCAGAUCACACCACGCAAAUCUCUCUCGCACCACCGCCGUUCCCUCGCCGUCGGCGCCCACAGCAGUACACCAUGCUCCGCCUCCACAAGUAUGUCCUCACCCAGCUGCUCCCUUCUUCCUCCCUCUCCACCAUCUCCCUCCCUCUCGGCCGCCUCAUCUCCGCCGCCGCGCCCGCCGUUUCCCCCAACCCUAGUAGCUUCGCCGUGGAGGAGUACCUCGUCGCCACCUGCGGCCUCACCCGACCACAGGCCGCCAAGGCCUCCACCAAGCUCUCCCACCUCAAGUCCCCCUCCAAUCCCGACGCCGUCCUCGCCUUCCUCGCCGACCUCGGCCUCUCCGGGGCCGAUGUCGCCGCCCUCGUCGCCAAGGACCCCAAGUUCCUCUGCGCCAAAGUGGAGAAAACUCUGGCCCCCAACGUCGCGGAGCUCACCGGCCUCGGCCUCUCGCGUGCUGAGAUCGCGCGCCUCGUCUCGCUCGCCGGUGAGUCCUUCCGCCGUACAUCUGUCGCCUCAAGGCUAUCCUACUUCCUGUCCCUCUUCGGCUCCUACGACGACCUCCUCCGGGUAGUCCAGAAAAGCCCCAAUCUCCUCGGAUGCGACCUCGACAGGGUUCUCAAGCCCAACGUCGCCUUCCUCCUGGAGUGCGGGUUAGGUGUUUGCGAUAUUGCCAAGCUGUGCAUCCAUUCGCGAUGGCUGCUCGCCACCAACCUGGAACGCCUCCGGGCAAUGGUGGCAUGCGCCCAAGGUAUAGGUGUGCCAUGUGGCUCUCGGAUGUUCAGACAGGCCUUGCAUGCUGUCGCAUUCCUCAGCCAGGAGAAGCUCACCGCCAAAGUGGAACUCUUGAAGAAGACGUUCAUGUGGUCAGAUGCCGAGGUCGCCAUUGCUAUUUCUAAGGCUCCAACGUUGCUGACGAGGGAUAAGGAAUCGCUGCAGCGCAGGUCCGAGUUCCUCAUCUCUGAGGUGGGGUUGGAACCGGCAUACAUUGCUUAUCGUCCGGCAAUGCUCACUUACAGCUUGGAGGGCCGGAUCAGACCCCGGUACUAUGUCGUAAAGUUUCUCAAGGAAAAUGGAUUGCUCAAGCGUGACCCGAGCUACUUUACUGUUUUCAAGGAGUCCGGGAAGGCAUUCAACAAGAUGUUCAUACACCCUCAUAAGGAAGCUGCACAAGACCUUGAAAAAGACUAUGAUGCUGCUUGCAAAGGGGAGGUGCCCACUAAUUUCAGAUUCACAUAAGCCAAGAACGGGCUCUGAUGUAACCGUGUGCUGGUUGUCCGCUGCUGUAUGUCUGUUAGAUGCUGGGUUGGUGGUUGUUAACGAGUGAUCAAGCUGAUAAUUUGAUCCCUGGAUACUGAUAUGUAAUGUCACCACUCAGCCGAGAAGAAACCAUGGAUUGGUUAUGGAAACUUUUUCGUCCUCAUUCAUGUUUUAAACACAUGUAUUGGAACUAAGUGAAGAUGUGCUGAAACUGGAUGUACAUGGUGUUUUUUCUUUCUUCUUCCAGGAAACAAGAUGAAACAUGGCGGCUAUGGCUUGCUGUGCUCUAUACAUGAUUUUGAAGGCUCUGUUAGUUGAUGAUGCCCUGAAGCUUCAGUGACAAGUAUGCCUUGAUGAUGUCUCUUUUUUGAAUUUUGCAAGUUAAGUAAUCCUUCUAGUAUUGUACUGUAGAUUUCAAUAAACUAGUAGCAUCUGGUGCUUUAAUCAAUUUGUACAUGUUGUUGGAUCUUCACUUGGAUGUAAACAAUUUGAAUGAGCCACUUAUGCAUGUAAACAGUAAGCGUUAUGUAAAUUUUGUAGUCUGAACUCUGAAUUUGAAGCAGAGCUGAACGUUAACUCUGAAUCUUUCGG
rnacentral:rRNA from 1 species